CCUACGGGUGGCAGCAGUGGGGAAUAUUGCACAAUGGGGGGAACCCUGAUGCAGCGACGCCGCGUGGGUGAAGGAGUACUUCGGUACGUAAAGCCCUAUCAGCAGGAAAGAAAAUGACGGUACCUGACUAAGAAGCCCCGGCUAACUACGUGCCAGCAGCCGCGGUAAUACGUAGGGGGCAAGCGUUAUCCGGAUUUACUGGGUGUAAAGGGAGCGUAGACGGCAGUGCAAGUCCGGAGUGAAAGCCCGGGGCUCAACCCCGGGACUGCAUUGGAAACUGGCAUGCUGGAGUGCCGGAGGGGCAAGCGGAAUUCCUAGUGUAGCGGUGAAAUGCGUAGAUAUUAGGAGGAACACCGGUGGCGAAGGCGGCUUGCUGGACGGUAACUGACGUUGAGGCUCGAAAGCGUGGGGAGCAAACAGGAUUAGAUACCCUAGUAGUC
rnacentral:rRNA from 1 species